rnacentral:siRNA from 1 species
ACCGUAACCCAACCGUAACCGUA